rnacentral:rRNA from 1 species
AUGGCCGCGCCCUGCAUUCACGUUGUCUUUCUCCUUUGUCUGGUCCCAGCCACCGUCGCCUCACCUCAUCGUAAUCUACGCAAAUCCCCGGUCGACAUCGCCGCGGCCCCGACCGUCUCCGGCAGAUGCGUCGCGGCCGACCACCUUCUUCGAGGUGGACCGCCCGCUCCGCCCGCCACCGGACAGCUCCGGCCCGUGCUCCACGCUCCUGCUAUCCAGCUCCUUCGCCUUCACCUUCACCAAGCUGCCCGCCAUCGCCGCCUACUCCCCGCCGCGCUGCCUCGCCGCGGCGGGCGGCCGCGCCUCAGCGAUCUCCCUUGCCGUCCUCGAGUGGCAUGCCACCUGCCGGGGACUCCAGUUCGACAUGAUCUUCGGUGUCUGGCACGGCGGCGCCAACUCCUCCGCGGCAGCACCGCCGAGCCGCUGCAAAACGGCGUCGUCUGGUCCGUCUCCAAGGACAUCACCAGGUACGCGUCCCUCCUCGCCGCCGGCAACUCCACCCUCGCCGUCUUCGUCGAGAACCUCGUCAACAACCAGUACACCGGCGUGUACUAUGCCAACGUGACGCUCCACCUCUACUUCCGCCGCACGCCGACGAGGCCGCCGCCCGCUGUGGCUCCCGCCGACCUCAUCGUCCCGAUGUCCAGAGGCUUACCUCUCAACGACGGGCUCUGGUACAAGAUCGAGAACGCUACCGACGUCACGGCCAAGAGCGUCGUGUUGCCAUCCAACACCUACUGCGCGGUCCUCCAACUCUACGUCUCGUUCCACGGGGAUGACGAUUAG